rnacentral:lncRNA from 1 species
UAGAACAUGUACACGCGUAUGUUGUUGCAAACGUUGCCAGGUGGUGUGUGCAAUACAUGACUUGUGCUGUCAAGGCUCGCGUAGCUUCCCGUUAGGCCUCGCGUUCGGGUUCCGUCUAGGUGGAACGUACUGGCGUGUGUUGCUUCGGAAUAAUAUGAACGCCUGUGCAAGAUGGACGUGUUCCAGCAGCGUGUAUGUGAAUUGUCUUAGGAAAAUUACCCAUAUUUUUGGGCUCUGCAAUUUUAUCUCGGUGGCAGUCGGAAUAUUUUUCAUCGCCUCACAACUACUGGGAGCAGGAGUAUGCAAUGCAGCUCCAUUUACUAAUGUCGACGUUCCAGGUUCCCAGGUAGAAAGCUACCCUCCUGUAGUAUGGGACGAAGUUGACCCCUACCUCCAAUAAUAAAAAUUAGCGUGAGAAACUUCA